AUACGAAGGGUGCAAGCGUUGUUCGGAUUUAUUGGGCGUAAAGGGCGCGUAGGCGGAUCUGCAAGUCACAUGUGAAAUCCCAGGGCCUAACCCUGGAACUGCGUGUGAAACUACAGAUCUAGAAUCUCGGAGAGGAAAGGAGAAUUUCGCAUGUAGGGGUAAAAUCCGUAGAGAUGCGAAGGAAUACCGGAAGUGAAAACGCCUUUCUAGACGAGUAUUGACGCUGAGGCGCGAAAGCGUGGGGAGCAAACAGGAUUAGAUACCCUGGUAGUCCACGCCGUAAACGAUGAGUACUAGUGGUCGUGGGAUUGACCCCUGCGGUCACAAAGCUAACGCAUUAAGUACUCCGCCUGGGAAGUACGGUCGCAAGACUAAA
rnacentral:rRNA from 1 species